rnacentral:rRNA from 1 species
AUUGAACGCUGGCGGCAUGCCUUACACAUGCGAGUCGAACGGUAACGGGCCUUCGGGUGCCGACGAGUGGCGAACGGGUGAGUAAAGUAUCGGAACGUACCUUUCAGUGGGGGAUAACGUAGCGAAAGUUACGCUAAUACCGCAUAUUCUGUGAGCAAGAAAGCAGGGGAUCGCAAGACCUUGCGCUGAUUGAGCGGCCGAUAUCAGAUUAGCUAGUUGGUGAGGUAAAGGCUCACCAAGGCGACGAUCUGUAGCGGGUCUGAGAGGAUGAUCCGCCACACUGGAACUGAGACACGGUCCAGACUCCUACGGGAGGCAGCAGUGGGGAAUUUUGGACAAUGGGGGCAACCCUGAUCCAGCCAUGCCGCGUGAGUGAAGAAGGCCUUCGGGUUGUAAAGCUCUUUCGGCCGGGAAGAAAUCGUAUCAGCUAAUACCUGGUGCGGAUGACGGUACCGGCAUAAGAAGCACCGGCUAACUACGUGCCAGCCGCCGCGGUAACAC